ACUAAAAUAUUAAAAGGAGAUAUCCUCAUCAUUUAGGCCCUCCACGUCGGAUGAAAUAUUUAGCCAAUAGGGUUGUGAGUUUCUUCCACGUCAGACACGGUUUGGGCUGUCUUUUUUUGAUCCAUAAAUUGUACGGAAUUGGGCUUCUUUUGUUAAUCCGUAAUUUUUUUCAUUAUUGGACUGGUCUGUUAACGAGCUUCGUGUUAUGUUAUUAGUUUUGAGAAACCUGAGUCUUAGAAUGGACUUUGGUUAAAGAAAAUCAUUUAUAUGGCCCAGUAGAUCUCUUCUGUUUCGAAACGUUCUCUUCAAUGGAGUUAACUAAUCCAAACACAAAGUGACUGUUUGUGUUUGGAUGAAUCAGUUUCUCUUACUCUACCUCCACGUCUCCAUCUUUACUCUGUUAAUCAAUAAUGGAUCACGUUCAUAACACCUCCUGCAUUCCACUUUAUAUAUACUCUAUCUAAACAGAUGAACCCUUUUUCUCUGAUUAAGGAUGGGCGGCUUUCAGGAACAUAUUGGCUGAGAUCCUUGAAGCAUCAGGGCUUAUGGUGCCGAAUCAGAAGCCUUCUGAUGCAGAGGAACAUCUGGUUGGACUUUCAGAUGAUGUGGGCGUUGGAUUUAUACCUGACCAUGGUAACCAACCCUCCUCUUCUACUGUUGAUCGAGCAACUGACUCGACAGGCCAGGAUGAAACCGGUGUUUCUAAGGUAAUCAGAUCUGACCAGAAACGGUUCUUCUUUGAUCUUGGGAAUAAUAACAGGGGCCAUUUCCUGAGGAUAUCUGAGGUGGAAGGUGCUGACAGGUCCUCAAUGAGCUUGAAUUGGUGAGCAAGACGUUGCAAGUGGAGCAAAAGCUAUUCUACUUAGAUCUCAAGGAGAAUCCUCGCGGGAAGUACCUGAAGAUAUCGGAGAAGACGUCGGGUUCGAGGUCAACCAUCAUCGUUCCUUCCUCCGGCAUCUCCUGGUUCCUCGAUCUCUUCAAUUACUACGUCCGACGAGCACGAGAGCAAAGAGUUGCAGCUUGAUUCCAAGGUUCCUUAUUAACUCUGUCUCUGUCAUCUCUCUUUCACUCUCUUAUUCUACUGGCGUUGACUUUUUUUAGUUCUUUGUGAUUUAGGUGUUUUACUUUGACAUCGGUGAGAUCUGAUACCACUAUCUGUCAUCGGCAAACACCUCGAAAUAUCCGUCCGUGACUACCGCUCUUCGAACCAACCCUAUGGUUUCAGCGGCUUUAACAUCAUGGCGACGCAAAUCAGCAAGAAGAGGAAGUUUGUAGCCGACGGUGUGUUCUUUGCUAAGUUGAGUGGGGUGGUCUUGCCGUUGGCAAGGCUUGCUAUGGUGUCUUGAGAUUCGUCAUGGAGAGUAGAGCUAAGGUGAGGUUUCGUGUUGAGUUUGCUGUGGAUGACGGCAAAGAUACCGGCUAUGUUUGUUGUCUUUGAUAAGGAGAUGACAAAGCUUACCAACAAAGAAUUUGUUGUCCUUGCGCUUAAAGAGCUACCAAACGGUGGAGAGGAUGAGCUACUUCCCUUGAAGAGCUUACUGGCAAGGAGUGUGUUUCAGAUCCGUGUGACACUUUAUAACUUCACACCCAACCACCGUACCUUCAGUGUCUCGACCAUCACUGAAGAUCUCAUCAUUGACGACCAGGCCGACGUUUGUAAUCUUGCUGGUGAAUCUUUAGUUUUCCCAGCUUUUAUUUAUACAUCACUUUCAGAGGCUGCUGAGAACAUUCUUCCAAGCAGUGAAGGUGCCAGAGGAUUAACUGCAUCAUCUUCGGACGUGGCGGUUGUGGGAAAGAAGGUAUGAAUGGAAUGUAGCGCAGCAAAUCAACAUAUUAGCCCGCAAGUAUUGAAAACACCCGCAAGCGCCACCGUAAUGAUAGGAAUUUAUUAUUCAUAUCAUCCCGUCAACCUCUGUUUCAGUGAGUAGUUUUUUAAAUUGCUAUCAUCUUUGUUUCUCAUUUAAAACUUUUUUUUUUGCCCCUGCAAGGUUUAUCUCUUAUGUAGUUUUCUUUGUCUUUUGAAUUAUUAAUGAAGCGUUAUUAACGGGUUUUCAUAAUUCAACAUAUUCUUAAUUCAUUUAAUUCGAACAUGUUCACUAACAAACACAAAACUUAACCAUUACUAUAUUUUCAAGCGAGCUUUAUUUUAACAAGAUAGUGAAAAAUGGUAUGUAUGCAUCCUCAUAAGAUCACAUUUACAGGAAAAAAAACCUUGAAGAGAACGUUUGUAGAGUGCAUUCUUUAAGAUCACAUUUACAGAAAAAAUAAUUGUUUCCUCUCACAACCCAACUCGAAAAAUAAAAUAUAAACAUUCAUGAAAAUCACAAUUAAUAAUUAUUGAAUGAUAACUAAUAUUUUUGAAAAAUAUUGAACAUAAACAACAAAAUAUAACCUAAUAAAUUUGCUAGAAUUACCCCCCAAAAUAAUUGAAUGGCAUAAAUUACAUAUGUAAAGCUAUUGUAUCUAUUAAAAUAUCCACAAUUUAGUCAGCUUCUUUUUCAAUGAGUAAAUAGAUACAACAUUGUAAAUCAAAACCUAUAGAUUAUUGACAUCUUUAAAAAUAUACAAAGUACAUUAGCAGAUACAGGAAAACGAAUGGGAAUACAUGUUAUAACCAUUUUAAAACUUAGAAAUAUACACAUUUAAAACAUGCCGCCAACGAAUUACAAUUAUUAGAAGGAUAUAAC